UACGUAGGGGGGCAAGCGUUGCUCGGAAUCACUGGGCGUAAAGGGUGCGUAGGCGGGUCUUUAAGUCAGGGGUGAAAUCCUGGAGCUCAACUCCAGAACUGCCUUUGAUACUGAAGAUCUUGAGUUCGGGAGAGGUGAGUGGAACUGCGAGUGUAGAGGUGAAAUUCGUAAAUAUUCGCAAGAACACCAGUGGCGAAGGCGGCUCACUGGCCCCGAUACUGACGCUGAGGCACGGAAAGCGUGGGGAGCAAACAGG
rnacentral:rRNA from 1 species